AUCGGAUACUGGGCGUAAGCGCGCGCAGGCGGUUUGUUAAGUCAGAUGUGAAAUCCCCGGGCUCAACCUGGGAACUGCAUUUGAAACUGGCCGGACUAGAGUCUCGUAGAGGGGGGUGGAAUUCCAGGUGUAGCGGUGAAAUGCGUAGAGAUCUGGAGGAACACCGGUGGCGAAGGCGGCCCCCUGGACCAACACUGACGCUCAGGUGCGAAAGCGUGGGGAGCAAACAGGAUUAGAUACCCUGGUAGUCCACGCCCUAAACGAUGUCAACUGGGAGGUGGGGCCCUUUAGGCGCGGCUUCCGGAACUAACGCGUUAAAUCUCCCCCCUGGGGAGUACGGCCGCAAGGUUAAAACUCAAAUGAAUUGACGGGGGCCCCCCCAAGCGGGGGAGCUUGUGGUUUAAUUCCAUGCAACGCCAAAAACCUUACCUAGUCUUGACAUCCAGAAAACUUUUCAAAAAUGCUUUGGGGCCUUCCGGAACUCUGAGACCGGGGCUGGCUGGCUUGCCUCCGCUUCUGGUCUUAAAAGGUUGGGUUAAUCCCCCCACCAACGCCACCCUUUGCCUUUGUUGCCCACGGUUCGGUCGGGAACUCUCUGGAGACUGCCCGGGAUACACUGGAGAAAAGUGGGGAUAACAUCUAGUCUCCUUGGGCCUUACGAGUACGGCUACACACGCGCUCCAAUGGCGUAUACAAAGAGAGCCGACCUCGCGAGAGCAGGCGGACCUCCUAAAGUACGUCCUACUCCCGAUUUGAAUCUCC
rnacentral:rRNA from 1 species